UAAUAAAACAAAGGCUGAAAACUCUCUCCGCCCACUUUCCCCAAAUUACACUCACGAAUGGACAAAAUUUCCUCACUGCCCAACUCACAGAAAUCUCCAUAUCCACCCAUUUCGAGUCUCGGAAGGGAGAAAGCAAGCUCCGGUCGGCAUGUGCUUGAAGAUCUCCGGCCGCAAGGAGCCCUAGCGCACUCGCACAUGCAAAUGAAUUUCACAAAUCUUGUGAAAACUCUCAUUUCCACCUAAUCUUAGUCUCGUCUGUGUUUUCUAUUUGAGUUGAUGCUCUGUGAUAUGUUCGCAUCGCAAAAUGGGCUAUAAGAAUUGUGGAAUCUGUCACAGUUGUAGAGUUGAGGGGCAUUUCUUAGCUGACUGUCCAUGGAAACACCAACGCCCAAAUUGGGAGCACAGAUUUGAGCAAAGUUUCAUGGUGGAGGAGACUAAAAAUAUAGGGCGAUUAUUUUUUUGCUACAGUAAGAAAUGUGGAUUUUGGAAAUGGGUUUUCAAAGAAAAAUAAAGCAGCCAAUUGUCUAGAGCUAGCGCUUCUUUGGUUAACUUUGCAACUAACGAAACAUCUGAACAAAUAUCACACAUGUUUCAAUCUCAAGUUCGCAUCUCUGUGAAAGAAGAUCUACAUAUUAUGGUGAACGUAAAGGUGUGCAAGAAAUUGCCAAAAUGAAUUGAGAAGGAAAGGGGUCGACCUAAUUGGUAGCUAUUAAUUGAAGUAGUAGUUAUUACAUAAUCUUUUGUACGAGGUCGGACUACUUUGAGCGAAGGAAUGUAAACUAUGUUUGUAAAUUACGUUAAUUUAUGAAAUGUUAUAUUUCAACUCUUUGUUUGAACAUCGAUUGUUACUUGUAAAUUACCUUUUAGAUUA